UCGGCCCCGGUUCACGCCCCGCAAUCCGCGCAGGCGACCCGGUGCC
rfam:Streptomyces albus strain DSM 41398, complete genome.